UCCCUGGUGGCUCAGAUGGUAAAGAAUCCACCUGCAAUGUGGGAGACCUGGGUUCGAUCCCUGGAUUGGGAA
rnacentral:tRNA from 1 species